UACGAAGGGGGCUAGCGUUGCUCGGAAUCACUGGGCGUAAAGCGCACGUAGGCGGAUCUUUAAGUCAGAGGUGAAAUCCCAAGGCUCAACCUUGGAACUGCCUUUGAUACUGGGGAUCUCGAGUCCGGAAGAGGUGAGUGGAACUGCGAGUGUAGAGGUGAAAUUCGUAGAUAUUCGCAAGAACACCAGUGGCGAAGGCGGCUCACUGGUCCGGUACUGACGCUGAUGUGCGAAAGCGUGGGGAGCAAACAGG
rnacentral:rRNA from 1 species